rnacentral:tRNA from 1 species
GGAGAGGUGGCUGAGUGGACUAAAGCGGCCGACUCGAAAUCGGCUGUGCCUUUAUGGCACCGCAGGCUGAAAUACAGUGCAUUUCUGGAUUUCAGGGGAGCGAAGUCAGGAAUUGCUUUGCCAAUGCGACGAGUAAGGAGCAUUGUCUGACAAGGGUGGCGAGAUGGUGAGCCACCCGUAAGCAAUUUCAGCGGGUGGCCGACCCGAGCCGUAGUGGGAGGCGAGGGCGCCAAAUCCUGCCCUCUGGU